AUUCUGAUAACUGGUAGAGCCUGGAUGGAACUGGAGGGAAGGAUGGUUUCCAGGACUGGUCCCCUGCCCCACUCCUCACCUCCAACAAGGCCCCUGCAGCAUCCCCCACCCAGGCCCUGUCUGCAUCCUCUCCUUCCCUCUGGUCCCAGGAAUACCGAGUCAUGAGGAAGAUCCUGCUGCUCCAGGAGGCUGCCAAGAAUUACAACCUAGAACCCGAGGGAGCGAUUUGCGGCCUGGUUCCAAGACAUGGAGUUGCUCAACGAGAAUGAGAGCUACAACCUGUCCUGCCAGCCAGAGCCCUAGACCUAUUUGGCCUGCAAAAUACACAAGGCCAAGAAGAACAGGCCAUCAUCAAGGUCUGGGCCCCCAGGCCCCAACGCCGAACCCCGUACCAGUGGCCGAUCACAGUCCCAUCCUCAGCAGCGGGGACACUGUUGGGAUGCUUGCGAUGCACCGGGUCAGCUCCUCCCACUUGAUGGGAAGGGGAGCAUUGUAAGCUGAUUCCUGGGGUCCCCUGAAGCCCAAGAGAGAAGGGACGACCCCAUCCCAGCUCCCUGACAUCUCUACCUCAGCACCUACUCACCCAUUGGGGAGGGUCAGUGGUUAUUUGUUGUAAAUAAUAAAUGACAUAUUUGAAUAUUAUAUUAAAGUCCUGUUCCCUUUACAGCUUGG